rnacentral:rRNA from 1 species
AGAGUUUGAUCAUGGCUCAGGAUGAACGCUAGCUACAGGCUUAACACAUGCAAGUCGAGGGGAAACGACAUCGAAAGCUUGCUUUUGAUGGGCGUCGACCGGCGCACGGGUGAGUAACGCGUAUCCAACCUGCCCACCACUUGGGGAUAACCUUGCGAAAGUAAGACUAAUACCCAAUGACGUCUCUAGAAGACAUCUGAAAGAGAUUAAAGAUUUAUCGGUGAUGGAUGGGGAUGCGUCUGAUUAGCUUGUUGGCGGGUAACGCCACAGGCGACGAUCAGUAGGGUCUGAGAGGAAGGUCCCCANAUUGGAACUGAGACACGGUCCAACGUCUACGGGAGCA